UUAAAUUGAAGAGUUUGAUCAUGGCUCAGAUUGAACGCUGGCGGCAGGCCUAACACAUGCAAGUCGAACGGUAACAGAAAGCAGCUUGCUGCUUUGCUGACGAGUGGCGGACGGGUGAGUAAUGUCUGGGAAACUGCCUGAUGGAGG
rnacentral:rRNA from 1 species